UACAGAGGUCUCAAGCGUUGUUCGGAUUCAUUGGGCGUAAAGGGUGCGUAGGCGGCGCGGUAAGUCGGGUGUGAAAUCUUGGAGCUUAACUCCGAAACUGCAUUCGAUACUGCCGUGCUUGAGGACUGGAGAGGAGACUGGAAUUUACGGUGUAGCGGUGAAAUGCGUAGAUAUCGUAAGGAAGACCAGUGGCGAAGGCGGGUCUCUGGACAGUUCCUGACGCUGAGCCGCGAAAGCCAGGGGAGCGAACGGG
rnacentral:rRNA from 1 species